rnacentral:rRNA from 1 species
UUUAAGGUYUAACCUGCCCAAUGAGUAGUUAAAUGGCCGCGGUAUUUUGACCGUGCAAAGGUAGCAUAAUAAUUAGUUUUUUAAUUGAAAGCUGGAAUGAAUGGUUGGACGAGAAAAUUACUGUCUCAAUUUAAUUUUUGAUGAAAUUUAUUUUUGAGUAAAAAAGCUCAAAUUUUUUUAAAAGACGAGAAGACCCUAUAGAGUUUAAUAGUUGAUUUGAAUUAAGAAUUUUUUAGAAUUUUAUUUUUCUUAUUUGUUCAAUUAUUUCGUUGGGGUGAUGGAAAAAUUUAAUAAACUUUUUUUUUUGUUUAUCAUUAAUUUAUGUUUAAUUGAUCCAAUUUUUUUGAUUAUAAGAUUAAAUUACCUUAGGGAUAACAGCGUAAUUUUUUUUUAGAGUUCUUAUCGAAAGAAAAGUUUGCGACCUCGAUGUUGGAUUAAAAUUAACUUCUGGUGUAGGGGCUAGAUGGUUGGGUCUGUUCGACCUUUAAAAUUUUACA